AUACGUAGGGUGCAAGCGUUAUCCGGAUUUACUGGGUGUAAAGGGAGUGUAGGCGGACUGGCAAGUCUGAUGUGAAAUACAUGGGCUCAACCGAUGGACUGCAUUUGAAACUGCCUGUCUUGAGUGAGGUAGAGGUAGGCGGAAUUCGUGGUGUAGCGGUGAAAUGCGUAGAUAUCAGGAGGAACACCGGUGGCGAAGGCGGCAUACUGGGGUUUUACAGACGAUGAGGCUCGAAAGAGUGGUGAGCAAAAAGGAGUAGAUGACCUGGUAGUCCACGCUGUAAACGAUGAUUAAUAGGUGUGGGGGGACAGACCCAUUAAGUGGCGCAGUUAACACAAUAAGUAAUCCACCUGGGGAGUACGGCCGCAAGGUUGAAACUCAAAUGAAUUGACGGGG
rnacentral:rRNA from 1 species